UUUAUUUAUGAAUAAAAAAAAAUACCAAAAAAAUGUAUUGAUGAAUAAAACAAUAAAAAAAAAUAUUACUAAUUAAUUUUAUAAAUUUCUUAAAACAAAAACACAAAAUAAUCUCAUGUUCAUUUAUUUUAAAUACUCAACAUUUUUAUGUCGUUUGGUUCACCCUGCACCAAACUAUCUUAUCACCGCCAUCUCUGCUUUAGCUAAUACACAAACCACAUCAUAAUUACAAUUAUAUUUGUUAGAAAGGCAAAAAUCCAAUUGAAUACCCCCUUAUGACAUUCUCACUUGAAUGUCAAACAAACAACCCAAACAAGUAUUUCUUACGAAAGAAAAUAAACUAAAAUGCCUGCAUUCGCGUUGAUAUCAAGUUUUUUAGACUUACUGUUCUUUAAUUCCUGCAAUGGUGGCACAUAAAGCGGUUUUUCCUCGUACAGGAGUUCCUCAGUGGCCAAUACUUCUGCCAUCGUAAAUAAUAAAUAUUUUAAAACUCUGAACCGAUAGUGUUAAGCAAAUUCAACAGCGCUUACUUCCAGCGAUUGUUGUACAAUGGAAGAUUGAAUAGCGACUAAUUAUAAUAGCGGAGUGUUAUUCAUUAGAAAGCAUCGCUCAGCUCGUAUAGUUGUUUAAGUACUUUUAAAUAAUUUACAGGGUGUUUGACUUGCAGCUUUGCUAGCUGAUAAGAUAAAAACCUCUUAAAGCACAAGUUGACAUUAGUUCAUCAAAUUAUGACAAGCCCAACAGAUCAGGCAGUCUUCGGCUGAUAGUGCUUCUUAGUGGCGUGCACAUAAAUUUGUGUUUUUAUAUAUGUAUAUACAUAUAACCAGCUACAUACAUAAUAUGUGAAUGUAUAUGCGAUUGCAAUGUUAUACUUGGAAUUUCAUUGCCGGCAUCCCAGCAAAUCCAGCAGCAGUCACCGUUUGAUCAAUUUGAAAGCAUUCCACGGCAGCAUCCAUACAAAGUGCGGACUCUUUAAAUAAUUUAAAACUUAUCAAAAGCAAGCAGCGAAGAAAUUGCAGCUACCUAAAACAGUAAUUUGGGAAACUUCUGAAAUGAGUAAAAUGGGGGUAUACUUGCUCCCAAUGCAUGCCAAAUGGAGUACUCUUUUUGUCGGCAUAUAGGAAAAUUAUACUAAAAUUCAACUGUUAUGUUCAGCAAACUGAUUAGAAAAAUUCAAUGACUUUGCGCUGCUUGGGAUGUACACAUUGCUGACGUAAAAGAAACAUUUAAUUGCGAAGUGAUAAAGCUACCGCAUUCGUAUCAUUAAGUCAAGUAAGCAACACUAACAAAAGCCAUUACUCAAUUUAACACCUAACUUCGUGUUAUCUGGUGCCAAAACGAGAUGAUUGUUUAUAAAAAAUAUUAGAAUGACCAAGUUUUAUACUGAUAAGCGAUGCACUAGAAGUACGAGGAAACAACAUACAUAUCCCACCAAAGAGGCAAAUAUGUUAAGUUUUGUCAACAUAACAUAUAAUAUUAUAUAUGGUCAUAUUAAGUUUGCACGAAGUUGUUAACACCUACACGGAUGAAUGUCAGAGACGCUAUAAAAUAUAUACAUAUAUAAAGGAUCAGCAUGAAAUCUUCAUGAAAUUUGGUAUAGAUUAUUGUCCAAGGCAACGCUACAUUCUCCGCAUACAUUUUCAGAUCAGGCCAUUAUAGCAUAUAUCUGUCAGACAAACUGACCGAUCCAAAUCAACAUGAAAAUCGUACCGUUAUUCGGGAUAUCCGUUUUCAGAUAUACAUAUUUACAUUUUUUCUUCUUUUUAUUUUUGUUUUGCUUUUUACAAGAAAUUAAUUAACUGCAUAUAUAGCAAGAAACUAGAUGUUAUAUGCAAUCGACAAUAAAAAUGAAGAUUAUGCACCGGAUGUAGAAACUUAAUAAAUCUUACAAAUGCCUUAUAAAAACUUUAUAUUUUUUAUCAACCUAACUGAUUAUGAAGCUUAUCAAAACAUAAAACGAUUAUAAACAAUUAAAGUGGUUUGAUUACAGAAAAAAGUGUAAAUGCACAAAAGCAAAGUUGUGUCAACAAAAUAAAUUAUUUCCAGAGAUUUGUUUUUCCAAGGUAGCAAUGUGAUUGGUAUAACGAAAGCACAUUUAUGUAGUUCAAAGAUACCACAUACUUAGAGACUAGUUAGUACCGUUCCCAUAACGGUCGAGUCUACGUAACCGGAACGGACGCGGCUUUUUCCGGCCAAGGACUGUCAACUCGACAAAAUUCUGCCGCUACAACAACAGACUUGUUGGUAUAAAUUCAAAAGGUACAUUUAGUUUUCAUAAGCGUAUUGGGUAAAUUUUACAAGGUAUUGUAAUUUGUGUACAAUAAAAUGAAACAAUAAACAAUUUUCCAAAUAA